UACGUAGGGUGCAAGCGUUGUCCGGAAUUAUUGGGCGUAAAGAGCUCGUAGGCGGUCUGUCGCGUCGGAUGUGAAAAUUCAGGGCUCAACCCUGGACCUGCAUUCGAUACGGGCAGACUAGAGUUCGGCAGGGGAGACUGGAAUUCCUGGUGUAGCGGUGAAAUGCGCAGAUAUCAGGAGGAACACCGGUGGCGAAGGCGGGUCUCUGGACAGUUACUGACGCUGAGGCACGAAGGCCAGGGGAGCAAACGGG
rnacentral:rRNA from 1 species